GCUGAAUAAAGCCGUGUCUCAUCUACCUGCUGUCUCCCAAGUGUUCUUCCAGCUCCCUGCCCCUCAUCAACCCACUCUCCUCAGACCUCAGCUGGGGCUUGAACCUGAUAAUUGGUGUAGUCAUCAGGAUGAGAUUUAGAAGUGGUGGUGCCCCUCUUGUGACAGCAUUUGGCAGUGUGCAGUUGGGCCAUCAAUAAAUCCAAGGUCCAAGGGCCGGAAUUGUCUGCCAAAUUCUUGGGAGUUAUUUGCUCAGGUAAGACAAAGAUCAUACCUGAGGCCAUCAUUGAUAAGAUCUAGGCAUACCUCCGACCUACCACAGUGAGGCAGCUGCAGACUUUUGGGGGCCUCUUGGAGUAUUGACAGGCAUUUGUGCCCCAUUUGGCUCAAACGAUAAAACCGUUGUACCAGUUAACAAAAAAAGGGGGCUAUUAGGGAUUGGGAUGAUGAGGCUGAAACAGACUUUCUGGCCACAAGUGGGCCAUUUGGCAAGCACAGACCUCACAAGUAAUUGAUCAGGGGCGCCCACUUGAACCUGAUGUACAUGGAACCACAGAUGGUUUUGGUUGGGGCCCAUGGCAGUGCAUGGAGCACUUUAGAACACCAGUAGGCUUUUGGUCCCAGCUGUGGAAGGGAGCUGAGCUCCAGUAUUCAUUAAGAGAGAACUAAUUAGCUGCUGCAUAUGCUACUCUUCAGGCCUGUGAGAGCAUGAUGGGACGGGCUACAGCCAUCGUGUGGAUGACUUACCCAAUAGAGGAGUGGGUAUGUUCAUGGGUAAUGACCCCCUGGACUGGAAUGUUACAGACAUUCGCUUUACAGAAGUGGGGUGCCUACUUGGAGCGGCAGAGUACAAUCCCUUAGCAGCAGAUUGUCCUUAGCAGCAGGUAGUCCUAAUGCAAGAUAAGGCCAUGGGGCCUGAGGCACCCCAGACCCUGAGCCAUCCCAGUUUAAGGAAGGGCAUCCUGCCAUUCCUGAUGGGGCAUGGUAUACAGAUGGGUCCAGCCAAGGUGCUGCUGCUGCCUGGACUGCUAUAGCAGUCCAGCCCAGCACCAACACCAUGUGGGUUGAUACUAGGUGUGGACAAAGCAGCCAAAGGGCUGAACUCAGAGUGGUGGGGAUGGUGAUAACCAGGGAGGAGUCACCUAUGGUACUUUGCACCAAUAGCUGGGCAGUCUAUUGAGGUUUAACCUUGUGGUUGACUACCUGGAAAUUACAGAAUUGGCUUAUUUGACCCCAAAUCAGCCCAUUUGGGGUCAACCAUGAGGCAAGACCUCUGGGAAACAGGUAAUCAGAAUGUGUCAAGCCAUAUGCCUUUGGCUACCCCUGGUAAUGAUGAAACAGACUCCUUGACAAAGGUCCGAUGAUUAGAGUCAGCACCUACACGAGAUGUGUCUCCAGAGGUAUGUCUCCAGAUGGAGACAACUGCCCAAUGUAACACAACAAGUGACAGUAGGGCAGGUGCCCUUGACCAGAUGGCAAUGAGAUUACAUUGGGCCAUUGCCAAAAUCGCAGGGCUACACGUAUACACUGAUGGCUGUAGACACGGCCAUUGGCUUAUUGUUCACCUACCCUUGCAGGGUGGCUGGCCAGCAACACACCAUUUGAGCCCUGCAACACUUAUGUGACUUAUAUGGCCAUCCCCUGGCCAUUGAAAGUGAUAGUGGAACACAUUUUACUGGACAGCAGGACUUAUAUGGCCAUCCCUUGGCCAUUGAAAGUGAUAGUGGAACACAUUUUACUGGACAGCAGGUACAACAGUGGGCACAGCAGAUGGACAUACAAUGGGGGUUCCAUGUUCCUUAUAACCCACAAGCUGCUAGCAUGAUUGAGCAAUAUAAUGGACUCCUGAAGAACGGGUUACAUUUGCAUGUUCCCCACCCCUCCUCCCCACCCAUCUUUGUGGGGCUGGAGUUCCAGGUUGGACCUGGUGCUUCAAAUCUUGAAAAUGUGGCCAUGGAAAGGUGGCCCGGCCCCGGUGGAGGCACUGUUACACCAGGCCACUGCCCCCAUCCAACUACAGAUACACACCAAGGAUGACCUCCUCUGACCAGGUAUGGGGACGAAUGGUAAUCUAUUGUUGCCUGCCCCAAUGCCUCCCACAGGUUGGCAUGCUCCAACAACAUUGUGGACUGGGCUCACACCUAUGCUGAGGUGGCCAAUGUCUCCAACUGUUAGAUCUGCACCACCCUUCCAGCAGCAGCUGUGGAUGGCUUGCCUUGGCAUGUGCAUCCAGCUUUUGUGAAGAACUGGACAUGGCUAGAAACUUGGGGUCCCACAGACAAUGGGCGGGAUGCAACAUGGUGAGCUUUGGAUGGGGGUGUCACAAAACCCAUGGCAAGCCUGCCCCCUGGCUGACUCAUAGCAUCCAUGAUGAAUGGGGCUGGCUAAUGGGAGAAAACAUGGUGGCCCCAUUGCAAGUACCACGAUGUAUAGAGCAACACUGGGGUAAGGUCACUGUGGGAUGGUUGCCUGCUGAGACCUGUGCAAACGUAACACAUGCCACCAUGCCAAGGAUGUGGUGGAACAAGCAGCCCUACCAAGGCUGGGCCCCCAUGGACUUUGUGCCUGCUGGGAGUUUAUAGGUCUGUGGGGACAUAGGAUGGCCAUAUCUGCCAGCCAACUAGACUGGACAUUGUACCUGGGAGUGGCCUUCUGUGCCUGCCACUGUGCUUCCCACAUUGCUUAGUCACACACAUAACUGGGAGGUGCUGUGUUCCCAGUUUUUGUGAGUGCAUUGAGCCCCUAGUGGUUCUACCCCUUAGCAAUAACUGUCCCUGGAACAGGUGUCAUCACUGUAGAAAUGCAGGUUACAGCCCUUGCAGAACACAGAGAUUGGGCCCAUGAAUUACACCUGAGCUGCCCUCCUUUUGUUAAUUGAUGAGUUUGAUCAGAUCAGGAAGGUGGUGAUGCAAAACCGGAUGGCCUUAGACAUAGUCACAGCUGCUCAAGGUGGCACCUGUGCCCUUGUAGGGACAGAGUGUUGUACAUUCAUCCCUGACAACCACCAGAACAUAGUGGCAGCUUUGCAGGGGGUGUCAUGUCAUAGGAGAUUAAGGCAAUUGAAUACCUUACUGAUGACCGCCUGCAGAGAUGGUGGGUGUCUCUGGGCUCUGGCCUACACUGGGCUCUUAUAAUCAUAGGUAGCAUAGCAGGAAUAUUAGUAGUAGGUUGUUGCUCUCUUUAUUGUUGCUGUGGCCUCUGGGUCCAGGGUGCUCCCCUAUGUGCACGAGUUCCCAUUAAGAGGACCCCCUUGGCCUAGGGGGCGGAGUGUAAGGAACAUGGCUGUGUUGCUGCCAGGCAGGCAUAGGCCGAGGUAAAAAUCCUGCAUGACACAGUGGGAUUAGAGCACACGCGCGCAAUCCUGUGCCUGAUAUAAUCACAGCUAGGUAGACAUAACACAGAGAAGCUCAUCAUUUGGCUCUCAGCCACUAUCAUUUGUGAGGUGUACAAAUGUAACACUGACACUGUGAAAGAGCUGCUGAAUAAAGCCAUGUCUCAUCUACCUGCUCUCUCUCGAGUGUUCUUCCAGCUCCCUGCCCCCCGCCCCAUCUACCCACACCCCUCUGACCUCAGCUGGGGCUUGAAACUGACAUUUGCUUUAUUGUACUUUGCAGAUACUUAAAAAAAAAACCAAAUUAAAGUUUUGUGGCAACCCUGUGUUGAGCAAGC
rnacentral:lncRNA from 1 species